UAUAUAAUACACAACGAAUAAAAACGGGAGGAAGAAAGUAACUCUCUGUCCCAAAUUUUUUAGCCCAACCAAGAUGAUUGGUUUUAGAAAUCAAUGUAAAAAUCAUGCUUUGGAAAGAAGUCACGUCUCCACAUCAGUUAUAUUUUUGGAAAGAACGCAGAGAUUAUCAUUUAUCAUGCUGAGAUUUGGGCAGCACAUCAUCAAGCCCUCCGUGGUCUUCCUGAAGACUGAGCUCUCCUUUGCUCUUGUGAAUCGCAAGCCGGUGGUCCCAGGCCGUAUCCUUUUGAGCAGUGCCUUGGCCAUGGGUGCCUGUGUUCUGUGGAGAAGCUGAGGAAGGUUGGCAUGCUCUGAAGGCCAGUUAGAACUCUGGUGCUACGUAACUUGUGCUGAUUUCAGUGGCUGGAGGUUGAACUUCUCAGAAAUAUUCAAGACUGAUCAUUUCCACAGAGGUUUAUGGUAAAAUUUUAGUAGGAACUGUUAAGAAAUGGCUGAAUGCAUGUUGGGGGGAAAAAAAAGUCUGGAGUUCAUUGAAAGCUUUUCUGUACUUUUCUGUUGUUUCUCAUAAUUUAAUAUAUAAUUUUAAAUUUAGUAGCUUUUAAUAUAAUUUUAUACCUAUAAAAGUAUUUUAUUCCUCUGAAAUUUUGAAUGUCCCUCUCUUCUCAUUACUUCUGUAUAUUAUAACUGUUCAAUGUAGAACUUCUUGGUGUACCUGUUUUGAAUGUUUCUAUUCAUUCCAGAAAUCAGAUAAUUUGGUUAUAAAUGUAUGACAAAUAUGCACAGACUUUAUAGAAACUAAACACGUUACCAUCAAUGUGUUUCAAUGAAUUAAACUAAUUAUUUUUCUCCAGUAAAAGUUUCUAAGCUAUCUGGUGUAAAUUGAUGUGGUGUACAGAGCCGUCGUGCUUUUAGGCAAAAAAUGGCAAAAUAUGUUCAAAGAUAUCUAGACACUAUCCCAUUCAUCAUUGUGAGUUGAGGAGCUUGUAAAUUCUUGACCAGGUUUACGCAUUGUGGAGGUAAAUAAGUAAAUUAGAGUAAAAGAGAGUAAAUAAAAUGUUUUCUGUACUGUAUGUGGAAGUUUUA
rnacentral:lncRNA from 1 species